rnacentral:rRNA from 1 species
GAUGAACGCUGGCGGCGUGCUUAACACAUGCAAGUCGAACGGAAAGGCCGAAGCUUGCUUCGGUACUCGAGUGGCGAACGGGUGAGUAACAUGUGGGUGAUCUGCCCUGUACUUCGGGAUAAGCUUGGGAAACUGGGUCUAAUACCGGAUAUGACGAUCUCUUGGAUGGGGUUGUGGAAAGCUUUUGCGGUAUGGGAUGAGCUCGCGGCCUAUCAGCUUGUUGGUGGGGUAAUGGCCUACCAAGGCGUCGACGGGUAGCCGGCCUGAGAGGGUGUACGGCCACAUUGGGACUGAGAUACGGCCCAGACUCCUACGGGAGGCAGCAGUGGGGAAUAUUGCACAAUGGGCGCAGGCCUGAUGCAGCGACGCCGCGUGGGGGAUGACGGCCUUCGGGUUGUAAACUCCUUUCGCAAUCGACGAAGCCUUUUGGUGACGGUAGGUUGAGAAGAAGCACCGGCUAACUACGUG